rnacentral:rRNA from 1 species
AUAUCAAUAAGCGGAGGAAAAGAAACUAACAAGGAUUCCCCUAGUAACGGCGAGUGAAGCGGGAACAGCUCAAAUUUGAAACCUGGCGUCCUUCGGUCGUCCGGAUUGUAUUCUAGAGAAGCGUCUUCCAUGCUGGUCCACGUAUAAGUGCCCUGGAACGGGCUGUCAUAGAGGGUGAGAAUCCCGUCCUUGAUGUGGGCUACCAGUGUUUUUGUGAUGCGCUUUCUAAGAGUCGAGUUGUUUGGGAAUGCAGCUCAAAGUGGGUGGUAAAUUCCAUCUAAAGCUAAAUAUUGGCCUGAGACCGAUAGCGAACAAGUACCGUGAGGGAAAGAUGAAAAGCACUUUGAAAAGAGAGUCAAACAGUACGUGAAAUUGCUGAAAGGGAAACGCUUGAAGUCAGUCGCGCCCCCUGGAAUUCAGCCCUGCUUUUGUAGGGCGUACUUUCCAGGAGGUGGGCCAACAUCAGUUUUGACCGGCAGAUAAAGGCUGGGGGAAUGUGGCUCCUUCGGGAGUGUUAUAGCCCUCAGUCACAUAUGCCGGUUGGGACUGAGGAACGCAGCGCGCCCUUGUGGCAGGCCUUCGGGCACUUUCGCGCUUAGGAUGUUGGCAUAAUGGCUUUAAGCGA